AUCGCUUCUUGGCUUUUUGGCUAAGAUCAAGUGUAUUAUCUUUUUAUAAUUUCUCCAGGGAGAUUCUGGGACUUGGAAUCAAAAGGUAACUUUUCCAAGAUCUGAGUAAUAAUGAAUGUCUCAGUUAAAGCAAAUGACCUCUGGAGGCUUUCCUUUACUCUCAAAAUAGGAAAGACCAACUUUC